GCUCAGGAUGAACGCUGGCGGCGUGCCUAACACAUGCAAGUCGAGCGAAGCACUUUGCUUAGAUUCUUCGGAUGAAGAGGAUUGUGACUGAGCGGCGGACGGGUGAGUAACGCGUGGGUAACCUGCCUCAUACAGGGGGAUAACAGUUAGAAAUGACUGCUAAUACCGCAUAAGACCACAGCACCGCAUGGUGCGGGGGUAAAAACUCCGGUGGUAUGAGAUGGACCCGCGUCUGAUUAGCUAGUUGGUAAGGUAACGGCUUACCAAGGCGACGAACAGUAGCCGACCUGAGAGGGUGACCGGCCACAUUGGGACUGAGACACGGCCCAAACUCCUACGGGAGGCAGCAGUA
rnacentral:rRNA from 1 species